UCUAUGUUUUAAUGUUCAGUUAUAUAUUCUAAACAACACGAGAUUAGUUUUCUUCUGUUCAAAAUCUUUUUGUAUAAAUUGCCCUUGUAUUUUAUCAUUAUAUUUCUUCAUGGAAUUAUAAUAUAAAAGAUAAUUCGUCGUAACGGCAUGCUAAAUCUUUUAAAGCAUGGCGAUCAGAACAUUUAUGCGCUUGGGUAAUACCACGAGCAGAUGUGUUUUGAUGUUACCAUCUUAUACAGUUAAAUUACAUAUACCAAAUACUUACAAAAAUGUAAGAUGUUUUAGACGAUUAAAGAAUUCUUUUGAACGACCUGAAAGUCCUUUUACGAGACUUAAUACUGAAAAUAGACCUGUUCAAUUUUCCAAGUUGUUAAAACCAUUUGUUUUUACUAUUACGUUUACAGGUGCUACAAUAGUUACAACAGCAAUUUGGGAAUAUGAAAGUAUUAGAAAGCAAACAUAUAAAAUAAUUAAUCAUUUUAGACAAUUUUACAGUGUUAAAACAGGAUGGCGGAAGGAUAUGGAAACAUGGUGGAGAAAUUUAACAGAUGGACAAAGAAUGUUCGCGCCUAUAUGUUUUUUAAAUGUUCUUGUAUUUCUUGCAUGGAGAAUACCCGCAUUGCAUAGCACAAUGCUAAAAUAUUUUUGUGCCAAUCCUGCUUCUAGUGCAUCAUGUUGGUCCAUGAUAUUAUCAAUAUUUUCACAUUAUUCUUUAUUACAUUUAGCUGCAAACAUGUAUGUAUUGCAUAGUUUUAGUACAGGAAUUGUAGCAUCUUUAGGCAAAGAACAAUUUUUGGCACUUUAUUUAAGCAGUGGUGUCAUUUCUAGUUUUGCUAGUCAUUUCUAUAAAGUUGUAUUUGGUUUACCUGGUCUAUCUGUAGGAGCUUCAGGUGCAAUCAUGGGUGUUCUUGGAUUUGUCUGUACAGAGUAUCCAGAUACUCGUUUAGCUAUACUUUUUCUUCCUAUGUUCACAUUUACUGCGAGUAUGGCAAUUAAAGUAACAAUGACUCUAGACUUUACAGGCUGCGUAUUAGGAUGGAAAUAUUUUGAUCAUGCUGCACAUUUAGGUGGUGCAUUGUUCGGAAUAUUUUGGCAAGCUUGGGGCAAUGCCAAUAUUUGGCGAAAACGGGAGCCAGUAUUAAUGUUUUGGCAUGAAUUACGAAAUCCACGUAAAUCACAAUGAAUUUCGACUUUUAUAAGGUGACGCUUUUGUUAUCAAACAAAAAACGUAAGAUAUUAGAUUCAAAUCAGAUUAUAAAUUUGAUAUACUUCAGAAGGUACGGUCAUGAAAAAAAAAAUUACAGAAUGUUAACACGUUUAAUAUAUUUUUAUUGUUAACAAUUUUUAUGUAUAUUAUAAGAAAACUAUAAAGAAAUGGAGAGAAAAAGGCAAAGAAUAAUGAGUAUAAUUUAUCUGUAACUUUGUUCAAUUUGAAAAAAGUCAUACAUUGAUUCUUUUGCAGUUUACUUUAUUUUAGUAUACUAAUUUUUAAUUUUACUAUACUAAUUUAAAAGAAAUAUUUAUUAGUAAAAAUUGAUAUAAAUUUUGAUAAAAAAUAUCUUUAAUUCUUUAAGUACUUCAUAUGAUGUUUAAUAUGAUCUUCGAUAAAUGUAGCUAUAAAAUAAUAACUAUGAUCAUAACCUUCUUGAAAUCUUAAAACCAAAGGUAAUCCAGCAUCUUUUGCAGCAUUCAAUAAAUUUUCAGGCAACAAUUGACCCUGUUUUAAGAAAUUAUCUUCUUUCCCCUAAAAUUAAUAUAUUUUUAAUAUUUGUUUUGCUUAUUUUUGUGCAACAUUAAAUUUUUUAUAUUUGAUUUAGUUAAACCUGAUCUAUUAAAAUAUCCAAAGGAGGACCAUUGUAUUUUUUAGCUAAUUCUGUAGCAUCCCAGUCAUUCCAUGAGACAUUGUCUUCUGUUUCUCCAAAAUAGUUAGAGAAUGCUUUUUUACCCCACGGACACUGAAUUGGAUUGCUGAUAGGAGAAAAGGCAGAAACCGAUUUGUACAUACCUGGAUUUUUAAGUGCACAGAUCAGUGCUCCAUGACCUCCCAUACUAUAAAAAUGAUUAAUGUUAUUAACAAUAUGUAGAAAUAGCAAUAAUUUUUAUGUUUAUGUCAUACCUGUGACCCAUUAUAGACUGUUUAUCAGAAAGUAUCGGAAAUUUUUCAUUAAUCAGUGAUGAUAAUUCUUUAGUAAUGUAACUGUACAUUUUAUAAUUCUUCUUCCAUGGUUCUUUUGUUGCAUCCACAUAAAAUCCUGCUCCAAUUCCUAAGUCCCAACUGUCAGAAUCAUCAGGAAUAUUUAAUCCACGAGGACUAGUAUCAGGUACUACUAAAGCAACACCACAUUCUGAAGCAUAUUUUUGAGCACCACCUUUUUGUAUAAAAUUUGCCUCUGUGCAUGUCAGCCCUGAUAGAAAAUAAAUAACUGGGACUGAAACUUCUUCCGCUUGUGGUGGAAGGAAGAUACCAAAGUUCAUUUUACAGUCGAGAACGGAGCUACAAAAUAUUAACAAAAUAUUAUUUUCAGAUCCAUUGUCACAUAACCUUACAUUUUUAUCUUAAUUUAUAAUACCUCUCAUGCGAAUAAACUUUUUGCCAUCCUCCAAAUACUUUAUUAUUAGAUACUUCUGUGAGUUCCGUCAUUGAUGAAGAUUGUUGCACUGUCUAAAAGAUAAUAAUUCAGUUCAAUCGUUAAAAAAAAUUCUUUGGAAAUAAUUACAAUACGCAAUUGUGUACAAAGGUUAAAUAAGAAUGUAAUCAAUUUCUAAACUCGCCUUAUUUCUUUAUUCUCGAUUCCUCACGACUUUCUGAUCGAAGACGUCGCGAAAAUUUAUUAGCAACUUUCGACAUACACUAUAAUUGUAAAGUGUAUUGUACACCAAUGGAGAAAAUAUUAUUCAAAAAAUGUUCAAUACUGAUAAUGCGCUAUUCUAUUAAUUUCAAAGCAGAACGUUCGCAUUCUACGUUAUCGCACAUUCUAUUGCAAAAAGAGAAAAAAAGAAUCGUAUGGUUUAUUUGAAAUAUAAGAACAUUCCGUUUACGUACAUUUCUAUACUUACCUCCAUGACUGCUGUACACUGCAUUUGUUUUUUCCUUUGCUUCCAAAAAUUUCUUAAAUUUGCUCCAGUUCUUUUUUUUUUAUAUUUACAAAGCUGCCCUUUUGCUGACGGCAUUUUUUUUUCUUCUUCACUUUAAUCACUUUUUAUAUUGCAUAUUUACAAAAAACAUCUCGACGCUAUUCAUACGAUGUCUAUUCGACGAAUGAACAUUUUUAAAAUAACCAAUCGUUUCGCAAUCAUUUGUUUUAUAUUUUUCUCAGGCGUUUUUUAAGACUGUUCAUCAUUCCUGGUUUUAUAAUAGUUUACGUCAACAAUGAGAACAGACUUAAUUCUUGACCAAUUAUGAUAAAAAACAAGUUUAUUUUUUUUUUUUUUUUAAGAAGUUUUAAUCUAGGACCCCGCUUUUUCGAAUUUUUGAAAAAGCUUUAAAAAAAAAAAAUGGCAUUUCUUCGAGAAUAUAUUAUGCAUAAAAAUACAACUUUUUCAAAAAUUCGAAAAAUCAGUGUCUUAGAUUAAACCUUUAUCUUUAAAAUAAUGUUUUGUUUAUCAAAAUUGGUCCAAAAUUAUGCCUGGACUUGCUGUUUUCGUUAUUUUUCGUGUAGAAAAAUUUUGUAGUAACAAUAGUAACGCCCUUUGAAAUCUACGGGAAAAAAGAAGAAAUUCAUACCUCUACUACAGAUUUUCACAUUACGAAAUAUUGAAAAUACAUCAUUGAAUGAUACUGCUGAUGCUGAUUAUGCUGAUUUUCUGAGCUAUUUCAAAUGCAAAAAAAAAUGCUUUUUAAGAUGCUCAUAAGAAACUAGAGAAAGAUGAUAAACAGCCUUAAGAAAUGCAAAUUUAACGAUGACUCUACUUGUAUAUUAUUAUUCUUUUAAAAUCAAAUCAAAUUGAACAACGUUCAGUGCAUUUUGAAAGAAAGCAAGAAAAAUCGAUAGUAUACAAUAAAAUCUAUUUAAUAGAAAAAAAAUUUUAAAGAAAAAAAAAAAAAAGAACCGUACCGCAUUUCAUCUCAUUGAAAGGUUUUAUGUUCUUCCGUAAAAAAAAAAAAAGAAAAAAAAAAAAAAACCCAGUAUAUUUUUAACGUAAUUGAAUUUAAAUCAAUAAUUAUCUCGAGAUCUAUUUAUUAUACAUAUUUCAUUAUCUUUUUCUUUACCGGUCUAUAUAAUGAAUAUUCCUGUAUUUUUCUAAAUAUUAAUUUUCAAAUAUCCGUAUAUUUAUAUAUUACGUAACUUGACAUUAAAUUAUUUCUAUUGAAAAUGAAAAAUUCUUAAUCAUUAAUUGUUUCCUUUAAAUGUUGUCAAAAUAAAGGAUACGGUAUAUGCCGUAUAAAAUUUAAAUUAUAAAUUAAAGAGUAUUUAUUUUACCUUCAUGUACACCUUUGAUCAGUUCCAAUUCCAGUGUUCCCCAUAAUUGUCAUCUUUUAUUUAUUUCAUGAUUGAUCUCAAAUGUUCCUUUAAAGUGUUUUUAGGAUUCAACAAAGAAAGAGAAAAACACAUCAUGGAAAUCAAUACUCUAAUGAUAGACCGAUAGAACGAAUUAAACUUUAACGAUCCUUUUGCACGAGACGAUCGAUCGCACCGAUCGAUUGGUGCAAUUUGUUGUAAAAACUCGUUAACGACAUGGAAUUGGCUACUUCGUUUUUUUUUUUUCCAUACGAGACAAAUGAAGUUAACGAAGUGAUUCAACUUUGACAGUUACUCACUAUACAAGUUGUUUUCUCAAGACCGUAGUUGCAUAUACUAAAGAUGCGGCAUUAUUUUCAAUCACGCCAUUCAUACUAAGCGACUGAUCGACGCAUUAACUUUCUGUUUCUCAAUCUUGGUUCAAAACAAUACGCAGAAAGAGAGGGGAAAAAAAAAGAAAGCGACAAUACCUCUUCAUUCUUCGGCGCCAUUAUGACGAAUAAAAAAACAAAAACAAAUAAUAAAAAAAAUUACGCUGUCAAUGAGAUUAGUUGCUAUUUCGAUUCCACAGAUCGAUGACUGACAAAUUACAACGAUUCGACCGUUUCUUGUGAAAAGGUCCUAAAUGUUCCAAUGACAGCGACUAACAUAUAAAGCGCGAAUAAUUGAGUGCUAUUUUUUCAUGGCGCGAUACAACAAAGGUCCGACGAAAAUGAAAAGUAACUUGAUGAAUAAAAAUUUAGACGCAACAUGCAUCAUUUUCUCGAUACGGAAUAGUGUAAUACAAGUAUACUUAAAUACAUAAAAUCUGUACGGUAUACUCAAGGAUUUACACCAUAAAUUCUUCUGAUUGUAAUUUACGUCUGAUUUUGGUGACGAAAGACUCAUUCGAAAGGUAAAAGCUUAUUUUGAAAAUCGUGGCAGAUUUUAAAUAUAAAAACGUGCAAUUAUAUGGAUGCAUUUUUCUACAUUAACUUUUUGCACUCGAGAGGUGAUUCUCACUCAUCACAUGAUUUAAUGCCGCAACUCGAGUGGUGACUCUCGCUCACUACUUUGUUUGGUGCGGAAAUUCGAUGCGCGGGGAGAACUGUUUAUGUUUUCUUUUUUUCAAGUGAGUUCCUAAAUUCUUCCUGUAUAAUGUUACGAAGGUAACAUAAUUUCCCUUCCCAAUGGAAGUAAUGUUUUCUUAUCUGAAAUAAGUGCGCAAUCUUGAACCGGACUCUAUUUUCGGUCUUAGUUCGAACUUGAACAUCAGGAUUAUAAAAAUUGCGAAAGGAUUAUAAAAAUUGAAGUUUCUGAUGCCCAUAAGCAUGGAACUUAGUAAUGAAAUAAGUUCAAGUGAAGAUGAAUUUGAUGUAACGUUGCUUAACGAGGAAAUUACAUCUAUACAUAGAGAGCUUGACGAUAAAGACAACAAGAGCAGUGAUGAUGAUAGUAAUGAAGUAAGUGGUGUAAGAAGAUGAAAGAUCAGAAUAAUAGACAAUGAAUAAUAGACAUGAAAACGACAGCGAUAGUGAUACUGCAGAAGACCUACAAUCGGACAGUUCUGAAUGGAUUAGUUGUACAGAAUCCAAAGAAAUACCCUUGAGAAUACCGUUCAUAGCCGGCGAUACUCCUGCAGAACCGCACAUACUCCUAGACAAGAAAGAACCGUUGUAUUUUUUCAAACUGUUUUUUACUAAUGAACUCGUGAAUGAAAUAGUUACUGAAACAAAUAACUACGCUAGAAAAAAGUUAGAGAAUAAGACGCCAUCACAGUAUUCAAUAUGGCGAGCUUGGCACAGUGUGACUAUCGAAGAAAUGUGGGCAUUUAUUGGAGUCAUAAUAAAUAUGGGGAUAAUGCCGUUGGCGAAUUUGUAAGAAUAUUGGUCACGGAAUGAUAUAAGUUAUAUUCCUUUUUAUUCAAACAAAUUUACCAGACAGAUUCAAUCAGAUUUUUUGGAUGCUUCAUCUAAAAACAAUCCCAACACGAGAUACUGGUCCAAGAAUACGUUUAGAGCUAAUAAGCUGCUUUCUUGAAUACAUAAAUUCUAAAGUUUUAGAGUAUUUUACACCGGAAAAAGAAAUUUGUGUGGAUGAGUCAAUUAUCAAAUUCAAAGGUCGGAUUUCCUUUAUCACUUACAAUCCGAAAAAACCAACCAAAUGGUGUGUUAGAGUUUACACAAUGACAGACUCAAAUACUGGGUAUAUCUGUGGUAUUUUUUCUUAUUAUGGAAGUUUUACAACGGAGAAAUUGAUAAAGCCUGACCUUCCAAUAUCAGCAAGAAUACUGCUGCACCUUUGUACGAUGCUGCUGAAGAAAAUACCUGGUACUCAAGGACACCAUAUGUUCACCGAUCGGUAUUACACCAGCUUUAUCUUGGCUGAAGAAUUAUUCAAAUUGAAGUGUCAUCUGACAAGAACAAUCUUAACGAAUAGGAAGAAUUUGCCAAAUCAAAUAAAAAAAAACAACAUUCCGCAAGAAAUUGACAGUAGCAUACCGCAAAAGAAAUACUUUAGUUUUAGCAUUUAGAAGAAUAAGAAGGUUGUCACAUGUUUGACCAAUGGGAAUAAUGCAGAAAUGAGUACUGUAAAAAGGAUUUUAUGAGAUUGUAUUGAAAUUACCGUCAAAAAGUCUAAUGUUGUAAUAAAUUAUAUAAAACAUAUGGGCGGUGUCGAUCAAUAUGCCUCAACAUACUGUUUCUUAAGAAAAUCCUUGAAAUCGUGGCGUAAACUAUUUUUUUGGGGUCUGGAAAUUUGUGCAAUUAAUUCAUAUAUUCUUUAUAAAAUCACUGAAGAGCAGAGAAGACAACGGCCGCUUAAACACUUGCGGUAUGUGAAAACCUUAGUUCAACAAUUAACUGGAGAUUUUCACCAAACACGUGAUCGAGCUUCAACUUCAACCUUCAAUUCCGAAAAGAUCCGCCUGAAUGGAAAGUUGCAUAACAUUCUAACAGGAGUUAGGAAGGAUUGUAAAGUCUGCUCUCAAAGAAAUAAACUCGGUAAAAGACAUCAAAUUAUUGUGAUACUUGUGUUGAAAAGCCGGGCAUCCAUCUCAGCAAUUGUUAUAUGAAAUAUCAUACAAAACAAAAUUACAAAAACUAAAGUUUUAGAAAUUAUCUUCGUAAAGGUCUAAAGAUACAUAAAAUGUUAAAAUAUAAAAGUUUUAUAGGAUAAUUUGUGUGUGUAAUUAUUUUAAGUUAGAGGUAAAAAAUUCACCAAAAGUGCUACAAAACAUCUCGAGUUGCUGAUUCUUCCGCGCGAAAAUGGCCCCGACUGCAAAGGGUUAAUAUCAAAAAACUCUAUACUACCACGGUUUACUAUAGUCGCUCGUCACGAAAUCUUUCUUGCUUGGUAGCGUCGAUCAAAGUCAAACAGUGAAUUAUCAAAAUUUUUGUAGAAAUAUUAGGUUGGAAACUAUGAAACGGGCGUUUUUUGUUUAGUCUGUGUUCAGCUGCGACUGAGAGAGAUAUAUUGUAACGUACGCUCGAUAUUUUAAUUUAUGAAGUUUAAAGGUAUUCUUCUUACUCAUGUUGUAAAAUUUUUUCGUGUUUGUAUCCCAUUUUUAUUUUAUUUUUAUCCUAAACCAGAUGGAAACAAAACGCUAUUUACAUCUACUCUUCUUGUACGAGUUUAAAUUAAAUCAUACCGCAGCUCAAGCUUCAAAAAAUAUUAAUCAGGCAUUUGGAGAUGGAUCCACCAAUGAAAAAAAUGCUCGAUAUUGGUUCCAAAAAUUUCGUUCUGGCAAUUUGAGUAUCGUCAAUGAGCCUCGAGGAAGACCACCGGCCCAUAUUGAUAACGAGGAAUUAAGGACGACUAUGGAAUCCGAUCCACAAACAACUAGUCGAACACUAGGAACUAGUCAUACAGCUGUGUUAAAACAUUUGCGUGCAAUAAAGUCAAAAAAUUGGACUCAUAUGUGCCGCACGAAUUGACACAACUGCAGAUGAUCGACCGCAAAAGCAAGUGCGCAUCUUUGUUGCUUCGCAAUACACGAUUGCCAUUUUUACACCAAAUCAUCACUUGUGAUGAAAAGUGGAUUUUGUAUGAUAAUCGAAAACGAUCAAGCCAAUGGGUAGAUAAGAAUAUAUCCCCGGGACACACCCCGAAACCGAAAUUUCAUAAAAAAAAAAAUUAUGGUCACCAUAUGGUGGAAUGCCCAAGGAGUGAUCCAUUAUUCCUUUCUACAGACGAAACUAUAACAGCGAUGUCUUAUUGUCAUGAAAUUGAUGUCAUGCAUGAGAAAAUUAUGGAAAAACAACCAGCAUUGCUCAAUCGGCACGGCGCAAUAUUACUGCAUGAUAACGCACGACCACAUAAAGCUUCAAUUACUGUUGACAAAUUAACUUCUCUACAAUAUGAAAUUUUACCAUAUCCUCCAUAUUCACCCGAUAUUUCACCGACUGAUUUAUUAUUACCUUUUUCGUUGGUGCGAAUGAAAUGUCGGAUUCUUAAGUGAAUAUAUAAAACUGCAUAUCUUUUUCCAAAAGUUGUUUAUUUAAUCAAAAUAUGCUCCAUUUACUUCAAUAUACUUUUCCCAACGAGAUUUUAAUGCAUAGAUGCUUGUCUUGAAGAAAUUCUGAUCUUUAGAAUCAAUGAACUCUGACAUGACAUUUUUCAGACUGUCUUCAUUUUCGUACUAUUUAGCCCGUAAAAACAGUUCUAAAUGUUUAAAUAAAUGAAAGUCGGUUGGCGAAAGAUCCGGUGAAUAGGGUAGGUGCUACAAAAUUUUAUAUUUUAAUUCAUUUAAUUUCGCAAUUGUUUUGUACGAUAUAUGCGGCCGAACGUUGUCGUGGAGAAGUAUUGGGACAUGCCGAUUAACAAGUGAUGGGCUUCUAAUUUUCAAUUUUUCAUGCAUUUCUUCAAUGUACUAGCAAUACUUUUCGGCUGUAAUUGUCAUUCCAGUUCGAAGGAAUGAGUAAUGUAUUACUCCAGUUACAUUCCAGCAAACUGUGAUUAAAAUUUUCCGUGGAUGAAGUGAUGACCGUGGAGUAUGAGCACAAGCCUCAUCCCUAUCAAGCCACCGAGCACACCUUUUCCUAUUGUCGUAAAGAACCCAUUUUUCAUCACAAGUAAUGAUCCGAUCGAAAAAUGGAUCUCGAUUAAAUCGGGUUAGCAAUGAUGAACAUACGUUCAAGCGAUCCAGCUUAUUAAGCUCGGUUAGUUUGUGCGGUAUCCACUUAUCCAUUUUUUUCACCUUGCCAAUUUCAGAAAGAUGUCGCAAUAUUGUUGUACGGUCAACUUCCAUUCUGGCAGCAAGUUCCUUUGAAGAAACAGUUGGAUUCGUUUCCACCAAUGCUUUCAGAGCAUCAUUUUUCACAGACGUUUCGGGUCUUCCACGCGGUUCAUUUUGCAGGGAAAAAUCACCAGACCGGAAUUUUUCAAACCAACGCUGCACUUUUUGAUCGUUCACAGUAUUCUCUCCAAAUGCCUGGUUUAUAUUGCGUGCAGCUUUUGCAGCAUUAUUACCAAGUUUAUACUCAUAAGAAAAUUACACGAAUAUCGGUUGAAUUCAUAUCUGUGCAAAAUUCAAAGCAAAUAACAAAAGGGAACACUUUUGAGAAAAUCUUCUUUGCUAAAAUGUGACUCUGACAAUGGACAGUACGACUAUAAACCAGGUUAUAUCAAAAACAAAAGCAUAACAAAAUACGACACAUGAACGCCCAUCGAUAAAUAUAUCUAAUAUAAAUGAUAUAUGAAUAAAAGUACAAAACGUUUUUUUUUUUUCAUCCUCUAUUGUUUCUCUUUAUCUUACUAUCUUAUGAUCAUUAUACAUUUGUUUUCACAAUGUUUUUUAACCGUUUGCGUACCAGAGGGUUUUGACAAAACAUGAUCGAAAAACACCAAGGAGCGCGAUAGCGCUCUUUCAAUUACGUUUCGAAAAAAGCCGAAAAGCGUGAUAGCGCUUGUCAUGUUCAAUGCGAUAAACAACAGGGCCGCCCUUUUCGUGUUUAUUUCUUUUAUACCAAAUUCAGUUAUGAAUGAAAAAAUAUAUAUGUAUAAUAUAUAUAUUAGGUUGAAAACUAUGAAACGGGCUUUAAAUGAAAAUAAAAAAACGAAAAGCAUAAUUUUUCACAUUAUUUAUUAUAUUCAAUUGAAAUAAUUUCCAUUCUUCAUCUACGACUUUUUGCCAACGAUUGGGCAAAUCACAUAUGCCUUUUUGAAUAAAAUCUUUAUUUUUAGAGUUAAUAAAUAAUUCAAAGUCUUUUAUAAUAUCAUUUUGAUUAUUGUAUUUUUUUUCUCUUAAAAAUAAUUCAUAAUUAUUAUAGUAGAGAUCACAGCGAAAUUCACAUCAGCCAUCAGUGGAGGAAAUAAAUAUAAGAGAUUGAAUAAUAACAUCUUACUAAAUUAUCUAAUAAGAAAAAAAGAGUAAAUUAAUUAAAAGUAAAGUAAAUAAAAAGAAAUUAUCGGGAAUCAUUUUAGCCUGGAACCUACAUUUCCUAAAUUACGAAUAUAGAUGCUUACCAAUAUACAAUACACAUUGCUUAUAGAAUCUCUAUCUUUUUAUUCUAUGAAAUGUAAAAGAAACUACAAAUUUGUUCAAAAUUUUACAAUAUUUUAGAAACUCAAAUCCCUUGACAUAAACGAUUGGACACGUAUUUCUUUAUUUUUGCCAUAGAAUUAUUUGGCCAAAACUCAUUAAAAUGAUCGAGUGAGGAGUUUCUGUAGCUUUUUCGGGUGAGCAUCGUGAAAACCAUUUCUUUGCGUUUGAAAAUGUUUAGAAAAUCUAAGCAUCAGUUAUUUACGUACACAACUAAGCAGGCAAUCGCUACUUCAUGGAUAUACAUUAUUCAAGCAUAUGAAAAUUAGUAGUGGGUGUACGAGCUUCAUCUCUUUUGCCGAACAUUUCGAUAUAAUACUAAACUUUUUUUUCGCGAAAAAUGUUGAAAACAACAUUAACGCCAUUAAGGAGAACAGAAGUAAUUCUCUAUCAAUUUUAAUGAACAAAGUCUCAUUUUAAAGACGAAGAUUUAAUUUACGGCACUGUUCCGGCGGAAUUUUGAAAAAAUCGUGAUAAUUUUUUUCAAAGAAAAUAAAGCGAGAAGUAUCAUUCCGGGACGAGAGAUAACGUAUGCAUUUGCAUGUGUGUGCAUAUGUGCAUGUGUUUUGAUUGAAUAUUACGACAAGGAAAAAGAGGCAUUGAGAUUUACUAUAUUAUUUAUUAAUAUCUCUAGAAAAUAGAAUAUGAAACAUUAAUAACAGAUAGAUGAUAAUGAUAACAACAGAAUAAUUUAUUUAUGAGUCCAUUAGGAAUUGUUUACAUCAUAUAUUUACCGAAUAGAUUAUAUUAAAAUAAAAUGUCGAGUGAAUAUAUAAUAUAUUUGUGAAUGUCAACAUUGUAAAUAAACAUAUGAAAGAUGAUAGUA